rnacentral:rRNA from 1 species
CAGAGGGUGCGAGCGUUGUUCGGAAUUACUGGGCGUAAAGCGCGCGCAGGCGGCCUUUUAAGUCUGACGGUGAAAUGCCGGGGCUCAACCCCGUGCCCGCCGCGGAUACUGGGAGGCUGGAGACGAGUAGAGGCAAGCGGAAUUCCGGGUGUAGCGGUGGAAUGCGUAGAGAUCCGGAAGAACACCGGAGGCGAAGGCGGCUUGCUGGGCUCGGUCUGACGCUGAGGCGCGAAAGCGUGGGGAGCGAACAGGAUUAGAUACCCUGGUAGUCCACGCCGUAAACGAUGGGCACUAGACGCUGGUGGGAUCGACCCCUUCGGUGUCGCAGCUAACGAGAUAAGUGCCCCGCCUGGGGAGUACGGCCGCAAGGCUG